rnacentral:rRNA from 1 species
GAUAGUGGCGACGGGUGAGUAACACGUGGGCAAUCUGCCCUUCACUCUGGGACAAGCCCUGGAAACGGGGUCUAAUACCGGAUACGACUGCGGAAGGCAUCUUCCGCGGUGGAAAGCUCCGGCGGUGAAGGAUGAGCCCGCGGCCUAUCAGCUUGUUGGUGGGGUAAUGGCCUACCAAGGCGACGACGGGUAGCCGGCCUGAGAGGGCGACCGGCCACACUGGGACUGAGACACGGCCCAGACUCCUACGGGAGGCAGCAGUGGGGAAUAUUGCACAAUGGGCGAAAGCCUGAUGCAGCGACGCCGCGUGAGGGAUGACGGCCUUCGGGUUGUAAACCUCUUUCAGCAGGGAAGAAGCGAAAGUGACGGUACCUGCAGAAGAAGCGCCGGCUAACUACGUGCCAGCAGCCGCGGUAAUACGUAGGGCGCAAGCGUUGUCCGGAAUUAUUGGGCGUAAAGAGCUCGUAGGCGGCCAGUCACGUCGGAUGUGAAAGCCCGAGGCUUAACCUCGGGUCUGCAUUCGAUACGGGCUGGCUAGAGUGUGGUAGGGGAGAUCGGAAUUCCUGGUGUAGCGGUGAAAUGCGCAGAUAUCAGGAGGAACACCGGUGGCGAAGGCGGAUCUCUGGGCCAUUACUGACGCUGAGGAGCGAAAGCGUGGGGAGCGAACAGGAUUAGAUACCCUGGUAGUCCACGCCGUAAACGUUGGGAACUAGGUGUUGGCGACAUUCCACGUCGUCGGUGCCGCAGCUAACGCAUUAAGUUCCCCGCCUGGGGAGUACGGCGCAAGGCUAAAACUCAAGGAAUUGACGGG